CUUUAGCCCCGAUAGAAGCGGUUACCCCGCAGCGGAAAUGGUUUUAGCCAGGUGCGAGGAGUAUGAGCGGAUAGCGGGAUUAAGC
rnacentral:sRNA from 1 species